rfam:Pichia sorbitophila strain CBS 7064 chromosome I complete sequence.
GCGGACUUAGCUCAGUUGGGAGAGCGUCAGACUGAAGUUUAUCAGUCUAUCUGGAGGUCCUGAGUUCGAUCCUCAGAGUUCGCA